UACGUAGGGGGCAAGCGUUAUCCGGAUUUACUGGGUGUAAAGGGAGCGUAGACGGAAUUGCAAGUCUGAUGUGAAAAUCCGGGGCCCAACCCCGGAACUGCAUUGGAAACUGUAUUUCUAGAGUGUCGGAGAGGCAAGUGGAAUUCCUGGUGUAGCGGUGAAAUGCGUAGAUAUUAGGAGGAACAUCAGUGGCGAAGGCGACUAUCUGGACAGCAACUGACACUGAGGCACGAAAGCGUGGGGAGCAAACAGG
rnacentral:rRNA from 1 species